rnacentral:tRNA from 1 species
AGUAUAUAGCUAAUAUAAGUUUAUUAUUUACAUUAAUAAGAUACUGGAAAGUUUUACUCUA